GAUGAACGCUGGCGGCGUGCCUAAUACAUGCAGGUCGAGCGAACGGACGAGAAGCUUGCUUCUCUGAUGUUAGCGGCGGACGGGUGAGUAACACGUGGAUAACCUACCUAUAAGACUGGGAUAACUUCGGGAAACCGGAGCUAAUACCGGAUAAUAUUUUGAACCGCAUGGUUCAAAAGUGAAAGACGGUCUUGCUGUCACUUAUAGAUGGAUCCGCGCUGCAUUAGCUAGUUGGUAAGGUAACGGCUUACCAAGGCAACGAUGCAUAGCCGACCUGAGAGGGUGAUCGGCCACACUGGAACUGAGACACGGUCCAGACUCCUACGGGAGGCAGCAGUAGGGAAUCUUCCGCAAUGGGCGAAAGCCUGACGGAGCAACGCCGCGUGAGCGAUGAAGGUCUUCGGAUCGUAAAACUCUGUUAUUAGGGAAGAACAUAUGUGUAAGUAACUGUGCACAUCUUGACGGUACCUAAUCAGAAAGCCACGGCUAACUACGUG
rnacentral:rRNA from 1 species